AGGGCCAUUGUCAUGUUGAAACACCGGUUUCCGUAAGAUCACCGAGGUUAAGCAAUGUCGAUCCUGGUCAGUACCUAGAUGGGUGACCACUUGGGAAUACCAGGUGCUGUAA